rnacentral:lncRNA from 1 species
GACAUCAUACAUCAGGUUCACAAAAGGAUAGCUAAAAGAUGCUAGUAUGAGACAUGAGUUGUACAAAAUGAAAGCUAAAUAUCCAGGUGACACGGAUCGCUGGCUUCAUGGUUCCUUGUGAGUCUUGUCCUUUUGUUUGCUUCCUACAAAAGUUAAACAAGUCUCAAUUAUAAUAAUACAAUGUCAUAAACUGCAAUCUCUUUGCUUGUUUUUAUUUUGCAAACGUUACAUAUGUGAGUAGUCUUUUUUUGUCAAGUGAAUCACAUGAUGAUAGAAAUGAUACCAUAUCUCAAAACUAUUUACAUGUCAAUCAUAUUUAUUGCUUACAUACCAGUCUUUAGAAAUAAUAGCAGCGCAUACCUAGCUUCAUACGAAAGAGUGAAAAAAGAUCACCUAAGGCAUGCAAUCAAAACAUGUAACAAUUAAAUAACAAUGUGGAAGCAUGAUAUGUCGUUUUUUGUUUACUUCCUACAGUUAAAUAACAUGUAACAAUUAAACAAGUAAUUAUUUACUCUUUUGUCCAUAUAUAUAUGCUAGUAGGAUAUAGUACACAGGAGCAAAAAAUCUAUAUUUGUUACAGUACUACAUGCAUAUAUAAAAGUCUCAUGUUACACACAGGGCUAAAGAUUCACAGGCAUUUCCAAGGAGUAAAAAUAAAAGGUAUCCAAUAAUUAGAAGCAAAAAAGUUUAAGAGAUCACACAUGCAUAUUUAAAAGUAAUUAGGAGCAGCAAGUUUAAGAAGUUAACUGGCUCAAGUGGGUUUUAGCAAGGCACAAUAGAAGAAUCUAGCUAUGUUCUCUAAAUAAACCAAAAUAAAAGAACAUUAAGAAUUUACCAUCACUCUGAAUACUAUGCACAAAAUAGUUCUUAUUGAGAUGCAAUUACAUCAAUCAUUCAUGCCAUCGCUUCAUCCUGCA